CUUGUGAGCGGUGACCAAGAACUGCCGACCCCCUAAUCCAGGGUGUUAAGCGACACCGUGCCCAUUGGAAGGUUUGCAGCCAGGGGCGGUCAAUUCUCGUCCAA